rnacentral:rRNA from 1 species
GAUGAACGCUGGCGGCGUGCCUAAUACAUGCAAGUCGAGCGAACAGAUGAGGAGCUUGCUCCUCUGACGUUAGCGGCGGACGGGUGAGUAACACGUGGAUAACCUACCUAUAAGACUGGGAUAACUUCGGGAAACCGGAGCUAAUACCGGAUAAUAUAUUGAACCGCAUGGUUCAAUAGUGAAAGACGGUUUUGCUGUCACUUAUAGAUGGAUCCGCGCCGCAUUAGCUAGUUGGUAAGGUAACGGCUUACCAAGGCAACGAUGCGUAGCCGACCUGAGAGGGUGAUCGGCCACCCUGGAACUGAGACACGGUCCAGACUCCUACGGGAGGCAGCAGUAGGGAAUCUUCCGCAAAGGGCGAAAGCCUGACGGAGCAACGCCGCGUGAGUGAUGAAGGUCUUCGGAUCGUAAAACUCUGUUAUUAGUGAAGAACAAAUGUGUAAGUAACUAUGCACGUCUUGACGGUACCUAAUCAGAAAGCCACGGCUAACUACGUG